GAAUAAGGAUCGGCUAACUCCGUGCCAGCAGCCGCGGUAAUACGGAGGAUCCGAGCGUUAUCCGGAUUUAUUGGGUUUAAAGGGAGCGUAGGCGGGUUGUUAAGUCAGUUGUGAAAGUUUGCGGCUCAACCGUAAAAUUGCAGUUGAUACUGGCGACCUUGAGUGCAACAGAGGUAGGCGGAAUUCGUGGUGUAGCGGUGAAAUGCUUAGAUAUCACGAAGAACUCCGAUUGCGAAGGCAGCUUACUGGAUUGUAACUGACGCUGAUGCUCGAAAGUGUGGGUAUCAAACAGGAUUAGAUACCCUGGUAGUCCACACAGUAAACGAUGAAUACUCGCUGUUUGCGAUAUACAGUAAGCGGCCAAGCGAAAGCAUUAAGUAUUCCACCUGGGGAGUACGCCGGCAACGGUGAAACUCAAAGGAAUUGACGGGGGCCCGCACAAGCGGAGGAACAUGUGGUUUAAUUCGAUGAUACGCGAGGAACCUUACCCGGGCUUGAAUUGCAACUGAAUGAUGUGGAGACAUGUCAGCCGCAAGGCAGUUGUGAAGGUGCUGCAUGGUUGUCGUCAGCUCGUGCCGUGAGGUGUCGGCUUAAGUGCCAUAACGAGCGCAACCCUUAUCUUUAGUUACUAACAGGUCAUGCUGAGGACUCUAGAGAGACUGCCGUCGUAAGAUGUGAGGAAGGUGGGGAUGACGUCAAAUCAGCACGGCCCUUACGUCCGGGGCUACACACGUGUUACAAUGGGGGGUACAGAAGGCAGCUACACGGCGACGUGGUGCUAAUCCCGAAAGCCUCUCUCAGUUCGGAUUGGAGUCUGCAACCCGACUCCAUGAAGCUGGAUUCGCUAGUAAUCGCGCAUCAGCCACGGCGCGGUGAAUACGUUCCCGGGCCUUGUACACACCGCCCGUCAAGCCAUGGGAGCCGGGGGUACCUGAAGUGCGUAACCGCAAGGAGCGCCCUAGGGUAAAACUGGUGACUGGGGCUAAGUCGUAACAAGGUAGCCGUACCGGAAGGUGCGGCUG
rnacentral:rRNA from 1 species